UAUUGCACAAUGGGCGCAAGCCAGAUGCAGCAACGCCGCGUGAGCGAAGAAGGUCUUCGGAUCGUAAAGCUCCGUCCUUGAGGAAGAAGNAAGUGACGGUACUCAAGGAGGAAGCCCCGGCUAACUACGUGCCAGCAGCCGCGGUAAUACGUAGGGGGCAAGCGUUAUCCGGAAUUAUUGGGCGUAAAGAGUACGUAGGUGGUUUUGUAAGCGCGGGGUGAAAGGCAGUGGCUUAGCCAUUGUAAGGCUUGCGAACUGCAAGACUUGAGUGCAGGGGAGGAAAGCGGAAUUCCUAGUGUAGCGGUGAAAUGCUUAGAUAUUAGGAGGAACACCAGUGGCGAAGGCGGCUUUCUGGACUGUAACUGACACUGAGGUACGAAAGCGUGGGGAGCAAACAGG
rnacentral:rRNA from 1 species